rnacentral:rRNA from 1 species
UGGGGAAUUUUGGACAAUGGGCGCAAGCCUGAUCCAGCAAUGCCGCGUGCAGGAUGAAGGCCUUCGGGUUGUAAACUGCUUUUGUACGGAACGAAAAGGCUCUGGCUAAUACCUGGGGCACAUGACGGUACCGUAAGAAUAAGCACCGGCUAACUACGUGCCAGCAGCCGCGGUAAUACGUAGGGUGCGAGCGUUAAUCGGAAUUACUGGGCGUAAAGCGUGCGCAGGCGGUUUUGUAAGACAGAGGUGAAAUCCCCGGGCUCAACCUGGGAACUGCCUUUGUGACUGCAAGGCUGGAGUGCGGCAGAGGGGGAUGGAAUUCCGCGUGUAGCAGUGAAAUGCGUAGAUAUGCGGAGGAACACCGAUGGCGAAGGCAAUCCCCUGGGCCUGCACUGACGCUCAUGCACGAAAGCGUGGGGAGCAAACAGGAUUAGAUACCCUGGUAGUCCACGCCCUAAACGAUGUCAACUGGUUGUUGGGUCUUAAUUGACUCAGUAACGAAGCUAACGCGUGAAGUUGACCGCCUGGGGAGUACGGCCGCAAGGUUGAAACUUAAAGGAAUUGACGGGGUCAUAGCUGUUUCCU